rnacentral:rRNA from 1 species
CCUACGGGGGGCAGCAGUGAGGAAUAUUGGUCAAUGGACGCGAGUCUGAACCAGCCAAGUAGCGUGAAGGAUGACUGCCCUAUGGGUUGUAAACUUCUUUUAUAUGGGAAUAAAACGUUCCACGUGUGGGAUUUUGUAUGUACCAUAUGAAUAAGGAUCGGCUAACUCCGUGCCAGCAGCCGCGGUAAUACGGAGGAUCCGAGCGUUAUCCGGAUUUAUUGGGUUUAAAGGGAGCGUAGGUGGAUUGUUAAGUCAGUUGUGAAAGUUUGCGGCUCAACCGUAAAAUUGCAGUUGAAACUGGCAGUCUUGAGUACAGUAGAGGUGGGCGGAAUUCGUGGUGUAGCGGUGAAAUGCUUAGAUAUCACGAAGAACUCCGAUUGCGAAGGCAGUUCACUGGACUGCAACUGACACUGAGGCUCGAAAGUGUGGGUAUCAAACAGGAUUAGAUACCCGUGUAGUC